AUGCUCAACAUGGGGGCUGUGCUGCUGUUACUAAUUGGUGUGGCUGAUGGUUUGAAGACCUUCUGCGACGCCACAGAGCCAAACAUCACGACCCAGUGCUUUGGCUCUCUGGGAGGAACUGUGGAGGUCGUGCUGCCUACUAAGACCUCACAAAAUGAUACCUACAGACUGAAGAAAAACAAUACUGUGAUUGUUAACAACCUCGGUGUGACAACAGACGGGAGAUAUUCAUUUAUUGUCAGUACUGGAACAUUUACUAUAAAGGGCGUCAACUUGAAAGACACUGGUGAAUACUCAAUGGAAGUACAUGAUGGAAAUGGGAUGCAAGUAGCAAAUAAAAAAAUGUAUUUAAUCAUUCAAGUCACAGCCCUCGUCCCUAUAAUCGCUGGUUCCCUGUCAGCGAUGGUUCUGCUCCUGAUAGUAGCAUUGGGAGUCUACUGCGCAAAAAAGCACAAAACCUCAAGAGACAUCACAGAAGCGGAAGAUGUAACCUACGCAGACGUCUCUGUGCUCCAGCGCCAGGGGCAGCGGAGAGAGCAGAGGGAGGGGGAGGUGGAGUACGGGGCGGUCAGGGUGGCUCCAGGCCCCGGGCGGACGCUGGAGACCAAUGUGGACGAGUGUGUGUACGCUCAGCCCCAGAGCACGAAGCCCUGAAUGCUGUGAACACCCAGAAGGACGCAUAGACAUUUUCAACCUUUUUACUGACACUCCCAUCGUGGCUUCGGAAAGACCAAGUCAUUGGCCCCCUACGUUCUGAUGAUUCAGCAUUCAUUCUAUUUUGACAUUCAGGCGGAAAUUUUGGCUAUGCCGACAUUACAUAAUUUUUUAUGCUUCACACCACAUCUGCUUUCAUGUUAAUGAUUGUAUUGUUAUUUUAAUUAUGUCUAUAACCCUUUCUCCUGUUUAAUAAAAACACAGAUAAAGAUUGAUAUGAGCCAAUACUCCUGAAAUCUGAAUCUGUGAAACCACUUCUAUGUAGGCUAUGUGAAUGUGCUUGGAUUCAGCUGUAUGAAAUAUAUUAUUUUGAAUAAAAUUGAAUGUAUAGUUUCUAGCAGCACGGGAAGGAUGAGACGGGAGCCCAGGUUAAGCGGUUAACACACAUGACACACUUAAUAUAACUAGGCCUACUUAAAGGUUGUAUAGGUGAUUUGCUUUUUUGGCCAUUUUUGCAAAAUUACUUGAAAUCCUUAUCAUAACCCGCUUACAGCCACUGAGUUAGAAGUACUGACAUGAAAAUUAAACAAGUCAAUCAUCUGUGGAACGGGCAGGGCUCGAAAAACUCCAGCCAAUCAUUUCCAUUGCCACCGAGUUGCAUUGGACAGUAAGUACGUCAAUCAAACGGUCGUACUGCACUCCCCCUCCCCCGCGCCCCGCGCGCGACCCCUUCGUGCAGUACUCGUGACCCAGAGCUCGUGACCCAGAGCAAGCUCCUGUUUGUUGUUAUCCUGCGGUAGCUACUGGAACUAGUUAAUCCACAUUUGGACCUAGCAGUAGAAGACAAUUUCCAUGGCAGACAAGACGCCACCAUCCCCACCACCACCACCACCACCAGCAAAGAGAAGGAAAACUCUUUUUCAGAGAGUAAUUGAUAAUAAAAACGCUGAAAGAGAAAAACUGAAAUCAAGAAUAAUCCUAGGCGCUGCUUUCGAACGUUGGCGGCAACUGAAGGACGAGAAGGGUCUAAAAACCGAUGCUUGUCUGGCGGUUGACCUAGUUUCAAAGUUUAUACCGUUUAUACUCGGUAAUACCGGUGUGGAGACGAGUGUAUUACUCGGUGUGAAAAUGUCCACACCGCGGCAACCCUAGUGAAAACCAGGACUUCCAAUACAAUUAUAUGAAACAAACAUACAUUUUCUAAAAAUAGUAAUGAUUUAUGUGACCGUUUAAUGUUUAUAACAUCUGGUCCAACCAUUGCAGCGAGAACGUAUUCUCAGCAGGGGGUGCUGGGAAAAAAAAAAACUCAGCCUGCACUAGACUCGCAACUCGUUACAUUGAUAAAAAAAGAUGUAUAGCAGCGCAGCUCAAUUACACCAGUGCAUGCGCGGACAGUUGAAAAUCGAUCGUUCACAUCCAGCUGCUCACAGAACAAGUUUAGCGCACCACCGCUACCCUCACACUUUUUCAUAUAACCUUUUUUCAGCACUAGGUCAUAUGAGCAUUAAAUAAAUGCUGCGUCUCAAAAUGCCUUGGACAGCAGCGAGGAUGACUCGCUUUGCCACGGGCCGAAACAGUUCGGAGCGACCACAGCCAGAGCGAACACAGCGGGGCAGAGGAGUGUCAGGAAUAGUCUUUGGUGUACACAUCAGUACGGCCUAUUUGCACUACUGUUUAGUGGCAAUGCAGUGUUUUAUUCGAUGCCUUUUUAUUUUCGUAUAUUAUUUCAAUGAAUACAAUUUAUUUAUUCAUAAAAAACGGAUCUGGUCUUCAAAUCUUUUUUCCAAAUAUAGGUCGUCUUACAAUGGGGUUUGUGUUUAUAUUCGGACCAAUACGGUACAGCGGGCGCUCACAUGACGUUAAGCAUUUCCUGGUGCAUAAUGUGACGCUUCAGAACCUAAAAUCCCGUUUCUCCCCGUUGACACAACAACACAUAACCGGCGUUUUCAGAAAUCUCCACUUUGGCCGGAGUUUUUAGAAAUGAUCGUUUUCUGUGAUAAGACAGGGCCUCGGACAGGGGGUGUUGCAGCACCCCCAGCACUCCUACUUCCCGCGGUACUGGGUGCAACUUACAGCUGAAUGUAGUGCCAUGUUGUUAAACGAAAACCUAAGCUAGCCUGGCUCGCUCUCGCGCAUCUCUGUUCGCGCUCGUGCAUGAUUGCGCGUCCAGGUACUUGGAAUGGGUGGAGUCAGAGUCAGCGUUGAAGGAGAGGGGGUAGGACCAUUUGAGUUGUGUAUUUUCAAAAUCUGCUGGCGUUUCGCAAAUCACCUACCCAACCUUUAACAUAAACGUCUCGGCACGGUGUCUUGAACAACAACUCAACGGCAACACCAGCCCACCCACAGCGACAAACAAAUCCCACACAAUGUCUCUGCUGCAAAGGACCUAGGAGGGCGCCAGAGGUCCGACUUGCGAUUGUCCUGAAGGUCUCGCUGGUCCGCUUGGUCCAGGUCGAGCAGCACCCGUGCUGCCGUCCCCUCCAACGCCAACGCAAGUUGGACGGCGGCCUCCUCGGCACCCCAGCCAUUGUGCCACUCAGCAAGCCGGAACUGGGCCAGGUAUGGCUCCAGUGCAGUUGCCCCGGAGAAGUUUGGCAGCCUAACCGCUGUCCUUGCCACCAGGGGGCGGGAGGCAGCUGCUACUUCUCCGGCCAUUCCGGUCUUGGCCACGCGGUAAAAGUGCAAAACCGCACGGAAACGGAUUCCGUUCGGAAAUCCUUGCCAAACCACACGGAAUCCGUGCGGUUAUGCACUUUUACCGCGCCAUUCUAGGGCCGGAUUGUGGCCUUCUUGGCUUUCCAUAAAGCUGCUGCUGGCCCGGCUGGCCUUCUACAGCCGCACGGCCGCGCCGGUGAGCUAAUUUCUAACAGCUUGAACCGUGAUCCAGAGCUCAGUAGUUCGACUAAAUGGGACAUGAAAUGUUGUCAGGUUGUAAAGUCAGAUAAUCAAUACAACACUGAAUUAAGGGUCAUUUCAGUGUCUCUACUCCACGCAACAACAGGGACGGAAGGAGAGCAAGGGUCUGGAAUGAAUGGUUUCAAGAUGCUUUCUUUCGAAUAUUAAUAACAAUUUAAAAAAAAACUGUAGAUCUCUGAGAUUAUCCUGAUCUCACAAGUUCAAUUUCUGUUUUCAUGGAAUUCCUUGCGAACGUUGUGAGCGGUAUUUACUGCUCGUUACGUUGUGUAGGCCUUUGUUAUUUAAUGCUCGUUACGUUGUGUACGUUAUGUAGUGUACGUUAUUUAAUGUACGUUCUGAUGUGCACGUUAAAGUAACGCUGGUGUUUGGUUUCAAUUAAACUUGUUUAGAUUGUGUUUGAAAAAUGUAACAAUGUCGAUUUUUGUGGUUCUUUACAAUAAGUCAUGUUGAAUGAUUGAUCCUUAAAUACUAGUUCUAAAAAUUGGUAGGCUAUGGUAUAAUUUAUUUAUUUAUGUUUGCAUAAUAUAUUUGUGUUUAUUUUCUCUUUUAUUCAUCAUAAGUGUUUUCGCGUAUUGCUGACAAUCACAAAAUUAAAUAGGGUAAGAAAUCGAGUGAUAAAAUACAGUAAAAAAAAAAAAAAAAAAAAAGAUUAUUCAAGUAGGCCUAUUAAAAAUUGGAUGGCCCUGCCCCUGCCUAUAAGGUGAUUAAACGCUGCUCCCGAUUACGGUCUACAUAACCAGGCAAUACUGCCCCCCAGAGGCUAAACACAGUAACUGCAUCUGGAGUAAAGCAUGUAGCUCAGUACUGGUACUUACCCUACGCAGAUAUCAAGUAAAGUAAUGCUUCACUUUACAGGUCCCAAUAAUUCAUGGUCAGUAGGUGAAUAUUUUUUUUAUUUAAAUGUUUUAAUUACAACCAAAUAAUUAUAGAUGAUUAUAUUACAUUUGCCAAGAAGCAGUUGAUAGAUAGCUGGUUAUUUGAUAUCAUAAUUAGGCUCACGUGCAAAAUAAAGAGCAUAGUUAAGCAUUUAGAAUAGUAUAAUAAAUAUAAGAGGUAUAAUAAUAGAAUACGUCAACAAGCAGAAUAGCAUGAUACAUACAGGUAUAAUAAUACAAAAGUUAAACGUGCAGAACAGUAUAACAUUCUAUUUCUAAUAGCGACCACUAGGGAAAACAACAAGAGAGGAAAAAGUUAAUUAAUAAUGAAAAAGAUCUUGCCAUUAUCAGAUGCAGAGAGAGAAGUGUCCCUGGCAGGUCAAAGGUCAACAGGCUGCUGGCCCUCUGGCUAAAGCGCUGUCUACGCGUCCUUCUGGGUGUUGACAGCUCUCAGGGCCUCUUCCUCCGGGGCUGAGCGUACACACACUCGUCCACAUUGGUCUCCAGCGUCCGCCUUGGGCCUGGAGCCACCCUGACAGCUGCGUACUCCACCUCCCCCUCCCCCUGCUCUCUCCGCUGCCCCCGACGCUGGAGCACAGUGACGUCUGCGUAGAUUACAUCUUCCGCUUCCGUGGUGUCUGCGGAGAGGAGGGCGGCACGAAUGGAGAGGAAGAGCAAAUGAGGAAAUGAGAGAACAGAACGUCAAACAAAAAUUAUGACUGUUAGUAUUGAAAUAUCGCCUUCAGAAUAUCGCCUAAACUCUGGUGGGCGUUCCGUUCCGUUCCAGUAUUCGGCCGUAACGUUAGUGCGACGAUACUGUACAUUAUAGGCCUACUGUACUGUACAUUCUUAAGGACGCAGCAAAGGGGAUUCGUACCUUUUGAGGUUUUGUGUUUUUUUGCGCAGUAGACUCCCAAUGCUACUAUCAGGAGCAGAGCCAUCACUGACAGGGAACCAGCGAUUAUAGGGACGAGCCCUGUGACAAAGAAAAGUAUGGCACAGUGAACAAUGAUAUGAACAAUAAUUAUAAAUUAAUAUAAAUAAAUAUAUAUACACACAGUAUAUAUAUAUAUAUAUAUAUAUAUAUAUAUAUAUAUAUAUAUAUAUAUAUAUAUAUAUAUAUAUA
rnacentral:lncRNA from 1 species